UUGUCGUGCGCGUUGCUUCCG
rnacentral:siRNA from 1 species